CAGAGGAAUGACCCAGAACAUUUGACAAGCCUAGUGUCAUCCAGAUCACACUUUGGGAAGUGGUGCCUGAGACUCCUCACCCUCUGUCUCUGUUCUGUGGAGGCCUGUACCAACCGCAAAUUGGCAAGCAUCGUGCUGAAGAAAGAAAAGACCUUAUCCAGCUAUUUAGAGGAGAUGUGACAAAUUACAGUGACAGAAUACCUUACAUUAUACAGAUUUUACUGUCUCUGGAACCCUCCUGGUUAUUCUUCUCAUGUUUCAUCUCCAUGGUGACCUGAUGAAGACAACAAGGACGGUCUCUCUAUUGCUUUUGCCGCCACUAACGACCAUCAUCAAGUGGGAUUUCAAGAGGAGCACUACGAUCCUAUAAGUGGGAUUCAGUUUGUGGGGAAUAGAGGCCAGGGCUUCCUGCAUGUGGAGACUGCCAUGUUUGUGCAUGACUGCAACCAGCCCAGAAGCUGUAUUUACAGGAAACACAGAGUUAAGUUUGAUGGAAACAAGCAGUAAUGUUAUCUUUUGGAAAAA
rnacentral:lncRNA from 1 species